rnacentral:rRNA from 1 species
GUAUAUUAAAGUUGUUGCGGUUAAAAAGCUCGUAGUUCGAAGUCAGUUCCGGACUGGCCGGGGAGGUCACCGCCCGGUGCUUCCCCGUCAGGCUCCGAACAGCUUUUAUGACUAAAAGCCAAGUUGGUUUCGCCGGGGUGCUCUUCACCGAGUGUCCCGCGCGGCCAGCCAGUUUACCUUGAAUAAAUGAGAGUGCUCAAAGCAGGCUACUCUUAAAAAUAAAGCCCGAAUGUUACCUGCAUGGAAUGAUGGAAGAUGAUCUCGGUUCCAUUUUAUUGGUUCUGGGAAUCCGAGUUAAUGAUAAACAGGGACUGUCGGGGGCAUCCGUACUACGACGCGAGAGGUGAAAUUCAGUGACCGUCGUAGGACGAACAACAGCGAAAGCAUUUGCCAAGAAUGUCUUCGUUGAUCAAGAACGAAAGUUAGAGGAUCGAAGGCGAUCAGAUACCGCCCUAGUUCUAACCCUAAACGAUGCUGACUAGCAAUUCGCCGUCGUUAUUCCCAUGACGUGGCGAGACGCCCCCGGGAAACCUCAAGUCUUUGAGUUCCGGGGGUAGUAUGGUUGCAAAACUGAAACUUAAAGGAAUUGACGGAAGGGCACCACCAGGAGUGGAGCCUGCGGCUUAAUUUGACUCAACACGGGAAACCUCACCAGGCCCGGACACCAGAAGGAUUGACAGAUUAAGAGCUCUUUCUCGAUUUGGUGGGUGGUG